rnacentral:rRNA from 1 species
GACGAACGCUGGCGGCGUGCUUAACACAUGCAAGUCGAACGGAAAGGCCCUGCUUUUGUGGGGUGCUCGAGUGGCGAACGGGUGAGUAACACGUGAGUAACCUGCCCUUGACUUUGGGAUAACUUCAGGAAACUGGGGCUAAUACCGGAUAGGAGCUCCUGCUGCAUGGUGGGGGUUGGAAAGUUUCGGCGGUUGGGGAUGGACUCGCGGCUUAUCAGCUUGUUGGUGGGGUAGUGGCUUACCAAGGCUUUGACGGGUAGCCGGCCUGAGAGGGUGACCGGCCACAUUGGGACUGAGAUACGGCUCAGACUCCUACGGGAGGCAGCAGUGGGGAAUAUUGCACAAUGGGCGGAAGCCUGAUGCAGCAACGCCGCGUGCGGGAUGACGGCCUUCGGGUUGUAAACCGCUUUCGCCUGUGACGAAGCGUGAGUGACGGUAAUGGGUAAAGAAGCACCGGCUAACUACGUGCCAGCAGCCGCGGUGAUACGUAGGGUGCGAGCGUUGUCCGGAUUUAUUGGGCGUAAAGGGCUCGUAGGUGGUUGAUCGCGUCGGAAGUGUAAUCUUGGGGCUUAACCCUGAGCGUGCUUUCGAUACGGGUUGACUUGAGGAAGGUAGGGGAGAAUGGAAUUCCUGGUGGAGCGGUGGAAUGCGCAGAUAUCAGGAGGAACACCAGUGGCGAAGGCGGUUCUCUGGGCCUUUCCUGACGCUGAGGAGCGAAAGCGUGGGGAGCGAACAGGCUUAGAUACCCUGGUAGUCCACGCUGUAAACGGUGGGUACUAGGUGUGGGGUCCAUUCCACGGGUUCCGUGCCGUAGCUAACGCUUUAAGUACCCCGCCUGGGGAGUACGGCCGCAAGGCUAAAACCCAAAGGAAUUGACGGGGCCCCGCACAAGCGGCGGAGCAUGCGGAUUAAUUCGAUGCAACGCGUAGAACCUUACCUGGGUUUGACAUGGAUCGGGAGCGCUCAGAGAUGGGUGUGCCUCUUUUGGGGUCGGUUCACAGGUGGUGCAUGGCUGUCGUCAGCUCGUGUCGUGAGAUGUUGGGUUAAGUCCCGCAACGAGCGCAACCCUUGUUCACUGUUGCCAGCACGUUAUGGUGGGGACUCAGUGGAGACCGCCGGGGUCAACUCGGAGGAAGGUGGGGAUGACGUCAAGUCAUCAUGCCCCUUAUGUCCAGGGCUUCACGCAUGCUACAAUGGCUGGUACAGAGAGUGGCGAGCCUGUGAGGGUGAGCGAAUCUCGGAAAGCCGGUCUCAGUUCGGAUUGGGGUCUGCAACUCGACCUCAUGAAGUCGGAGUCGCUAGUAAUCGCAGAUCAGCAACGCUGCGGUGAAUACGUUCCCGGGGCU